CUGAGGCUGCAGGACAACCAACUGGAAGCUGGGGAGAGACAGGGCCUGCAGGGGAAUGGCAUUGAGCCCUCCCGUCCCUGGGGCAGUCACGGGGCAUCGUUGGCACCCUGAGGCACGGACUUGAAAAAAUGCAUUGAUUCAAGAUGGAAUAAACCGAGUAGGUUUCAGAACAGCCACCCUUGGCCUGGACAGUGCAAGAGCUGCAGAGUGUCACCUCACAGGGCCAGCGGCGACCCAAGACACGGGUGCCUGGAAAGGGGGCUCUCUGCGGGGACAGGGCUCAGAAAGGCUGGACCUGUCCUGAACCACAGAAACAGGGUUCCCUGAACCUCGGCCAUCGUCUACCAUUACGGCGCCCUGUCCAGAUAUAAAGUCAGAAAA
rnacentral:lncRNA from 1 species